GUGCCGGCGACGGACGCCGCUAAGGACCCCCCGCUCCGAGCCUGUAGCGCCGCAGUGACCUCCACGGUGUCGACGUCGGCGCCGGCGAAGAUGCAUCGUCGUCGGAUGCGGCAGAGAAUGAGGGAGAGGGAGAGAUGAGAAGGGCGGGGAAGGACGAGAGAGGCGUCGUCGUCGGAGUCGGUGGAGAAGAGUCGGAGAAGAAAAGAAAAGAAAAAAGCAAAAAAGAAAAAAGUCGCGGCGCGGCUUUUGCGGGGUUGGAGGCGAGGAACGUGGGGGGUGCGUGGACGAGGGCAAGGGCGAGGGCGAGGGCGAGAGAAUGAAGGUGAGAGGCGAGACGGACCGUUUCCGCUUCCGCUCUGCCGGCGAGAAAAAAAAAAAGAACGAAAGAAACGAAGAUGAGAGAGAAAGAGGAAAGAGAAAAAGUAAAAAGGGUAUUUUGGUCAGUUUGCUGAAAAAGCGGACCGAAUCUGUAAAAACGAAAAAGGUGGCCCGGUUUUGCAAAAGCUCAAAAUAAGUGAAUUUUUUAUGCAAAUUGGCCAAAAUUCUAUGCGCACCGGCCCCAAAUUAUUUAGUUUGGGGCCGGUUCCCGAUGGGCGCCGCAUGGCACGGGCGCCACGCUGCGCCCAUCCACCACUGCUACCCCAAUAUGGGGAAAGCAGUGGAAUUUCUGGGUGCACCUGGUGCAUGUAUACUAGGUGCACCAUAAUUGUAAUUUUUUUAAUUUUUUAAAAUUAAAACUUAAUAUGUUAGUAUAUAUGUUAUGAUUUAAAAUUUAUAUGGUCUAUAAUUCAUGAUUAUUGAUUUAGAAAAUUGAAAUUUUAAAAUAAAUUUAUUUUUGGUUUCGUGGAAUAGUGUGGAUAAUUUUUAUUUUUUUUAUUUUUUUUUUUGAAACCAAAUGGAGUUUAAAAUUUUAAUUUCUACAUGAUAACUCCUAAAAAAUAAAUAAUUUAUUACAUAAAAUUGUAAUUUAAAAAACUAAAAAUUUAAAAUUAA
rnacentral:lncRNA from 1 species